AGUUCUCUCAGCUGUAGAAAGUAGUUGUGACAUUACCGGUGCCAAGCUGUAUCAGUUUUUGUCUUUCCUUUGGAUAACAUUUGUGGUGUAGAGAGGGAAGGCUUGUAUACAUGGGCAACUGCUGGUCUUCCAUAAACAACCUUGCCUGGUCUUGUGCCUCAGAGAUCCGAAGAGC